GAUGAACGCUGGCGGCGUGCUUAACACAUGCAAGUCGAACGGAGUAGUUCCGCUGACGAGACUUCGGUCAAAUCUUGGGACUACUUAGUGGCGGACGGGUGAGUAACGCGUGGGUAACCUGCCGUAUGCUGGGGGACAACAGUUGGAAACGACUGCUAAUACCGCAUAAGCGCACAGUACCGCAUGGUACAGUGUGAAAAACUCCGGUGGCAUACGAUGGACCCGCGUCUGAUUAGCUGGUUGGUGAGGUAACGGCCCACCAAGGCGACGAUCAGUAGCCGGCCUGAGAGGGUGAACGGCCACAUUGGGACUGAGACACGGCCCAAACUCCUACGGGAGGCAGCAGUGGGGAAUAUUGCACAAUGGGGGAAACCCUGAUGCAGCGACGCCGCGUGAGUGAAGAAGUAUUUCGGUAUGUAAAGCUCUAUCAGCAGGGAAGAAAAUGACGGUACCUGACUAAGAGGCUCCGGCUAAAUACGUG
rnacentral:rRNA from 1 species